rnacentral:lncRNA from 1 species
UGUGGGGGGGGGGGGGGCUAGGAUUGUAGAUAUGGCCCUAGGAACCUUUUCAUUGUUUGCUGGUCCCCAUGAGCCCCCUAUACCGAUGGAAGUGGUGUUCUCCACUGGCUUUGGUGGAACAGCACCACAUUUUGGUACAACAGCCAGAGUUUUUGGCAGUGCAAACAGAAAAAGCUAAUGCUGAGCAAGCUUUGGCUCUGGUUUAGAACUGGACCCAGUCUUGGAGAAAACCCUAACAUUCACUUGUGGAGUUGUUUGUCUCACUGAGCACAAGGCCGUCCCUCUAAGUUCCCAGUUGCUUUCUUCAGCCUAUAAACAAGGUUCUAGGAAAACAGAAAGGCUGUUUUACACCCCGUCUUACUUACUGCUGCCAGUCGCAGCAGCGCCUGAGUGAUUCUCUCUUGGCUUUGACAAAAGACUUUAAAGCCAGUGUGCAAAUCACUCUGACCCCCUCCCCAUGUUUGCCAACAAAAGCCAAUUGAGGCACCCAUAAAUACUUACAGAUACCAGCUUAACAAAAGGGCUUUUGGUUGUGCUGCCCCUGCUGAAAAUCUCUGCUCUACCAGAGAGCAUUCAUGUCUCCUCUCCAGUGUCUCAACCUGGGAGUGGGAGGUAAACAAAUCCUGUCAACGACAUGCCAAAAACAGAUAAAGACAUAAUGUGACUGCAAAUUUGGAGCACUCAAAUGCACUAUGAUUAUAAAGACGGACAAAAAUGGACGUUUUAUGCUAGGCAGUGUGGGGGAUUGGACAAUAGAUUUCUGUGUAUUUUGUUUAAAAAAAAUACAAAUGCCACUGUUGGGCUCUUGGUUCUAAAUCGCCGGGCUUGGAGAACAAAACAAGCCUUUCAGGUUUAGAGGAGCACACGUCAGCUCCUCUCAGGCUGUGCUGGCUUACAGGAGCAUGACGCAAUAGGUCAGAGCUACUCCCUGACUGCUGUGUCCUCCUCAUAAUUGAUGAGUAAUUAGCACAGGUAGUGUAGGUCAUGAGUUCCAGUCAAGCCUACUGUGAAUAGAUGAAAGCAUGAGUCACGGUCUGUGAUGCGUUGCUUUCCAGAGGGCACGCGCUUUUAUGAGGACAUUUCAUUCGCAGUGGUGCAGCUUAUUAACUGUAAACAAAUGUGAUUAUUGUCAUUUACAGUAAACUGAGUAAACAGAAAGCAGCAACACACUCAACUCGUCGACUGAACGGGAACAUCUAAAG